rnacentral:lncRNA from 1 species
GAGUAGGCAUUGAGGUUGGUUUAUGUUAUGACCGGUACAACGUACCAACGGAGGAGGCCCAGUGGGCAGGGUUAAUUACGGGCUUAGCCCAAGUUAUCUUACCUAUCUUAGAAGUCCAAUUAUAUUAGAGUCCAAGUUAUAUUAGAGUCCAAGUUAGAGUCCAAGUUAUCUAGGGUUUAGUGGAGUCUGUCCUCCUUUAUAAANN